AGACCCGAAACCCGGUGAUCUAGCCAUGGGCAGGUUGAAGGUUGGGUAACACUAACUGGAGGACCGAACCGACUAAUGUUGAAAAAUUAGCGGAUGACCUGUGGCUGGGGGUGAAAGGCCAAUCAAACCGGGAGAUAGCUGGUUCUCCCCGAAAGCUAUUUAGGUAGCGCCUCGUGAACUCAUCUCCGGGGGUAGAGCACUGUUUCGGCUAGGGGGCCAUCCCGGCUUACCAACCCGAUGCAAACUGCGAAUACCGGAGAAUGUUAUCACGGGAGACACACGGCGGGUGCUAACGUCCGUCGUGAAGAGGGAAACAACCCAGACCGCCAGCUAAGGUCCCAAAGUCAUGGUUAAGUGGGAAACGAUGUGGGAAGGCCCAGACAGCCAGGAUGUUGGCUUAGAAGCAGCCAUCAUUUAAAGAAAGCGUAAUAGCUCACUGGUCGAGUCGGCCUGCGCGGAAGAUGUAACGGGGCUAAACCAUGCACCGAAGCUGCGGCAGCGACACUUUAGUGUUGUUGGGUAGGGGAGCGUUCUGUAAGCCGUUGAAGGUGUCCUGUGAGGGGUGCUGGAGGUAUCAGAAGUGCGAAUGCUGACAUAAGUAACGAUAAAGCGGGUGAAAAGCCCGCUCGCCGGAAGACCAAGGGUUCCUGUCCAACGUUAAUCGGGGCAGGGUGAGUCGACCCCUAAGGCGAGGCCGAAAGGCGUAGUCGAUGGGAAACGGGUUAAUAUUCCCGUACUUGGUGUUACUGCGAAGGGGGGACGGAGAAGGCUAUGUUGGCCGGGCGACGGUAGUCCCGGUUUAAGCGUGUAGGCUGGUUUUCCAGGCAAAUCCGGAAAAUCAAGGCUGAGGCGUGAUGACGAGGCACCACGGUGCUGAAGCAACAAAUGCCCUGCUUCCAGGAAAAGCCUCUAAGCAUCAGGUAACAUCAAAUCGUACCCCAAACCGACACAGGUGGUCAGGUAGAGAAUACCAAGGCGCUUGAGAGAACUCGGGUGAAGGAACUAGGCAAAAUGGUGCCGUAACUUCGGGAGAAGGCACGCUGACACGUAGGUGAAGUGAUUUACUCAUGGAGCUGAAGUCAGUCGAAGAUACCAGCUGGCUGCAACUGUUUAUUAAAAACACAGCACUGUGCAAACACGAAAGUGGACGUAUACGGUGUGACGCCUGCCCGGUGCCGGAAGGUUAAUUGAUGGGGUCAGCGCAAGCGAAGCUCCUGAUCGAAGCCCCGGUAAACGGCGGCCGUAACUAUAACGGUCCUAAGGUAGCGAAAUUCCUUGUCGGGUAAGUUCCGACCUGCACGAAUGGCGUAAUGAUGGCCAGGCUGUCUCCACCCGAGACUCAGUGAAAUUGAACUCGCUGUGAAGAUGCAGUGUACCCGCGGCAAGACGGAAAGACCCCGUGAACCUUUACUAUAGCUUGACACUGAACAUUGAGCCUUGAUGUGUAGGAUAGGUGGGAGGCUUUGAAGCGUGGACGCCAGUCUGCGUGGAGCCGACCUUGAAAUACCACCCUUUAAUGUUUGAUGUUCUAACGUGGACCCGUAAUCCGGGUUGCGGACAGUGUCUGGUGGGUAGUUUGACUGGGGCGGUCUCCUCCUAAAGAGUAACGGAGGAGCACGAAGGUUGGCUAAUCCUGGUCGGACAUCAGGAGGUUAGUGCAAUGGCAUAAGCCAGCUUGACUGCGAGCGUGACGGCGCGAGCAGGUGCGAAAGCAGGUCAUAGUGAUCCGGUGGUUCUGAAUGGAAGGGCCAUCGCUCAACGGAUAAAAGGUACUCCGGGGAUAACAGGCUGAUACCGCCCAAGAGUUCAUAUCGACGGCGGUGUUUGGCACCUCGAUGUCGGCUCAUCACAUCCUGGGGCUGAAGUAGGUCCCAAGGGUAUGGCUGUUCGCCAUUUAAAGUGGUACGCGAGCUGGGUUUAGAACGUCGUGAGACAGUUCGGUCCCUAUCUGCCGUGGGCGCUGGAAGACUGAGGGGGGCUGCUCCUAGUACGAGAGGACCGGAGUGGACGCAUCACUGGUGUUCGGGUUGUCAUGCCAAUGGCACUGCCCGGUAGCUAAAUGCGGAAAAGAUAAGUGCUGAAAGCAUCUAAGCACGAAACUUGCCCC
rnacentral:rRNA from 1 species